GGCGAACGGGUGAGUAACACGUGGGUGAUCUGCCCUGCACUUCGGGAUAAGCUUGGGAAACUGGGUCUAAUACCGGAUAGGAGCCAUCUUUAGUGUGGUGGUUGGAAAGUCUUUUCGGUGUAGGAUGAGCUCGCGGCCUAUCAGCUUGUUGGUGGGGUAAUGGCCUACCAAGGCGGCGACGGGUAGCCGGCCUGAGAGGGUGUACGGCCACAUUGGGACUGAGAUACGGCCCAG
rnacentral:rRNA from 1 species